UAGGUUACAUGAGCUGAUUAAAAAAAUCACACCAAGAUCCCAUCCCCUUCAAAUUAAGACGAAGGGUAUCUGUCGUCAGAGACUUUUGACCAGCUAGUAGACAUCCAUAUAAAUCCCUUCAGACCGAGUUUAGAAUCACCCUGAAUUAUGGGAAACUAACCACGCUUACCUUUAUAUAUGUACAAGCAGAAACGAGUCCUUAGGGUUCCAUUCACAGAUUAGCACCUCUUCUUCUGAUAGCACUUGCAAUGAGAAUUUCCAUGGCGCCUGCCUCUGUUCUUCUCCUUCUCGUCCUCCUCAUGGCGGCAAUGGCUCGUGGACUUAGACUGGAAAUGCAGCUGCGUGCGACAUUGGGCAAGGAGCCGGCAAGCGAGUGGCGAGCAUCUCCUGGCAGCCGUCCUAUGAACAAGCCCCGUGCAUCCAAUGGAGGGCAUGCUGACCUGGGUCAUAAGGAGGAGGCCAUUGGUGCCACGGCUGCUCUUGAUGCUGUCAAGGAUACAGAGGUGAAGAGGAUGAAGAAGAUGGGCUCCUAUCCGAGGUUCAGCGAAGAUUACUCCGGACCCAGUGGUCAUUCACCCAAUCACCAUCGCGCAACACCAUGCGGUCCAUGCUAAGAAGGCACCAUUUCUAGCUUAGUUAGCACCACGCGGGGUGUUUCUAUGAAGUGUAGUAUUUUGAGUAGUUCCAGUUUAGUUCAGACUUAAACUAAAUACUGGAACUUUGAAGAAAUAUCCCUCGUCGAAACAUGACGCCAGGUCCGUUAGGGUGGAGAGAGAGAAAUUAUUCUGUAGUCAACAUUUUUCUUUUCUGAAUGAAGAUCUUCAGUACUAAGGUUAUGCGCUAGCCAGCCAAGUUGACCAGUGGGUAGUACAUUGCUUGUUCUAGCACAUUAGCCUAACCAGCCCCAUUAAUGGAUUUCAUAUUUUUA